AACGAACGCUGGCGGCGUGGAUUAGGCAUGCAAGUCGAACGGUAUUUUUUCAACGGAUCCUUCGGGUGAAGUUGGUUAAAGAGAGUGGCGAACGGGUGAGUAACACGUGGGCAACUUGCCCCUAAGUUCGGGAUAGCCCGCCGAAAGGCGGGGUAAUACCGGAUGUGGUCGCUCCGCGAUUGCGGAGUUGUCUAAAGGUGGGGAUUCUUCGGAACCUAUCGCUUAGGGAUAGGCCCGCGGCCUAUCAGCUUGUUGGUGAGGUAACGGCUCACCAAGGCGUAGACGGGUAGCUGGUCUGAGAGGAUGGUCAGCCACACUGGGACUGAGACACUGCCCAGACUCCUACGGGAGGCUGCAGUCGAGAAUCAUUCACAAUGCGCGAAAGCGUGAUGAUGCGACGCCGCGUGGAGGAUGACGGCCUUUCGGGUUGUAAACUCCUGUC
rnacentral:rRNA from 1 species